rnacentral:rRNA from 1 species
UUUAUGGAGAGUUUGAUCCUGGCUCAGGAUGAACGCUGGCGGCGUGCCUAAUACAUGCAAGUCGAGCGAACGGACGAGAAGCUUGCUUCUCUGAUGCUAGCGGCGGACGGGUGAGUAACACGUGGAUAACCUACCUAUAAGACUGGGAUAACUUCGGGAAACCGGAGCUAAUACCGGAUAAUAUUUUGAACCGCAUGGUUCAAAAGUGAAAGACGGUCUUGCUGUCACUUAUAGAUGGAUCCGCGCUGCAUUAGCUAGUUGGUAAGGUAACGGCUUACCAAGGCAACGAUGCAUAGCCGACCUGAGAGGGUGAUCGGCCACACUGGAACUGAGACACGGUCCAGACUCCUACGGGAGGCAGCAGUAGGGAAUCUUCCGCAAUGGGCGAAAGCCUGACGGAGCAACGCCGCGUGAG